GAUGAACGCUGGCGGCGUGCCUAAUACAUGCAAGUCGAGCGAGCAGACGAGGAGCUUGCUCCUCUGACGUUAGCGGCGGACGGGUGAGUAACACGUGGAUAACCUACCUAUAAGACUGGGAUAACUUCGGGAAACCGGAGCUAAUACCGGAUAAUAUAUUGAACCGCAUGGUUCAAUAGUGAAAGACGGUUUUGCUGUCACUUAUAGAUGGAUCCGCGCCGCAUUAGCUAGUUGGUAAGGUAACGGCUUACCAAGGCAACGAUGCGUAGCCGACCUGAGAGGUGAUCGGCCACACUGGAACUGAGACACGGUCCAGACUCCUACGGGAGGCAGCAGUAGGGAAUCUUCCGCAAUGGGCGAAAGCCUGACGGAGCAACGCCGCGUGAGUGAUGAAGGUCUUCGGAUCGUAAAACUCUGUUAUUAGGGAAGAACAAAUGUGUAAGUAACUAUGCACGUCUUGACGGUACCUAAUCAGAAAGCCACGGCUAACUACGUG
rnacentral:rRNA from 1 species